GGGGGGAGGGUACUAUGUCAGUCAAGCGGUUGAGGUCUAUUGAGCUGACUAGGGGGGCAGGGGGGUGUGUACGCCUGAACGUCCGCCUGCGUGUGGGAGACUACUCCAGGACGGGUGCUACCACCUACGAUCUGUGAUGAAAGCGUGGGACCAUCGGGCCUCGCGCGCUUGCAGAUGCCGAUGGGUCAUUUUGUCUUUGGUGGGAUGUAAGCUUAUAGGCCGACAAUCUGCCUAUGUGCUGAGAGGAGAGAGCCUACUGUGACUGAGACACAGCCCCCACUCCCACACUAGGCGCGUGGGGAAUUUUGUACUUUGGGCGAAAGCCUGAUCCCCAGCUGCCCCGUGCCCGAGUGGACCUUCUCGUUUUGUACUGCUUUUGUACUUAACGGGAAGGCUUCUCCUAAUGUACCAGGCCCUUUUGAGUACCGUAACACAAUAAACACGCUCACUCUUUGUCCCCACCCGCGCUGUACGUAAAGUGUGAGCGUUAAUCUGAAUUACUGUGCUUAUAGCGUGCGCGCGCGGUGUAUGUGGAUUUAUGUGAAAUCCCCGGGCUCUCCUGCUGAACUGCAUUUGUGACUGCAUGUGCUCUAGUAAUAUAUAGGAGGGAUGGUGGAUCUUCCUGUAGUAGUGGUAAUGCGUAUAUAUAUAGAGGAGCACCACAUGUGGAGGCGCUCCCCUGUACCUGUGACUACUGACUCAUGCUCUGCAAGCGUGUGGAGCAGACACGACUAUAUAUCCUGGUGGUCCUCGCCGCUAAACGAUGAUCGACGACUAGUUGUGGGAGUUUACUUUUCUCAACUUAGCGGACGCCUAACGACGUGACAGAUCGAUCGGACCCGGCUGCGGGUGACGGGACCGGCAGCCGUGGAAAAUCACCACGAA
rnacentral:rRNA from 1 species